rnacentral:rRNA from 1 species
AUUGAACGCUGGCGGCAUGCCUUACACAUGCAAGUCGAACGGUAACGGGUCCUUCGGGAUGCCGACGAGUGGCGAACGGGUGAGUAAUAUAUCGGAACGUGCCCAGUAGUGGGGGAUAACUGCUCGAAAGAGCAGCUAAUACCGCAUACGACCUGAGGGUGAAAGGGGGGGAUCGCAAGACCUCUCGCUAUUGGAGCGGCCGAUAUCAGAUUAGCUAGUUGGUGGGGUAAAGGCCUACCAAGGCAACGAUCUGUAGUUGGUCUGAGAGGACGACCAGCCACACUGGGACUGAGACACGGCCCAGACUCCUACGGGAGGCAGCAGUGGGGAAUUUUGGACAAUGGGCGCAAGCCUGAUCCAGCAAUGCCGCGUGCAGGAAGAAGGCCUUCGGGUUGUAAACUGCUUUUGUCAGGGAAGAAAUCUUCUGGGCUAAUACCCCGGGAGGAUGACGGUACCUGAAGAAUAAGCACCGGCUAACUACGUGCCAGCAGCCGCGGUAAUACGUAGGGUGCGAGCGUUAAUCGGAAUUACUGGGCGUAAAGCGUGCGCAGGCGGCUUUGCAAGACAGAUGUGAAAUCCCCGGGCUCAACCUGGGAGCUGCAUUUGUGACUGCAAGGCUAGAGUACGGCAGAGGGGGAUGGAAUUCCGCGUGUAGCAGUGAAAUGCGUAGAUAUGCGGAGGAACACCAAUGGCGAAGGCAAUCCCCUGGGCCUGUACUGACGCUCAUGCACGAAAGCGUGGGGAGCAAACAGGAUUAGAUACCCUGGUAGUCCACGCCCUAAACGAUGUCAACUGGUUGUUGGACGGCUUGCUGUUCAGUAACGAAGCUAACGCGUGAAGUUGACCGCCUGGGGAGUACGGCCGCAAGGUUGAGACUCAAAGGAAUUGACGGGGACCCGCACAAGCGGUGGAUGAUGUGGUUUAAUUCGAUGCAACGCGAAAAACCUUACCUACCCUUGACAUGUCAAGAAUUCUGCAGAGAUGUGGAAGUGCUCGAAAGAGAACUUGAACACAGGUGCUGCAUGGCCGUCGUCAGCUCGUGUCGUGAGAUGUUGGGUUAAGUCCCGCAACGAGCGCAACCCUUGUCAUUAGUUGCUACGCAAGAGCACUCUAAUGAGACUGCCGGUGACAAACCGGAGGAAGGUGGGGAUGACGUCAGGUCCUUAUGGCCCUUAUGGGUAGGGCUACACACGUCAUACAAUGGCCGGUACAGAGGGCUGCCAACCCGCGAGGGGGAGCCAAUCCCAGAAAACCGGUCGUAGUCCGGAUCGUAGUCUGCAACUCGACUGCGUGAAGUCGGAAUCGCUAGUAAUCGCGGAUCAGCUUGCCGCGGUGAAUACGUUCCCGGGUCU